CACGUAGGGCGCAAGCGUUGUCCGGAAUUAUUGGGCGUAAAGAGCUCGUAGGCGGUUUGUUGCGUCGGCUGUGAAAUCCCGAGGCUCAACCUCGGGUCUGCAGUCGAUACGAGCAAACUAGAGUGUUGCAGGGGAGACUGGAAUUCCUGGUGUAGCGGUGAAAUGCGCAGAUAUCAGGAGGAACACCGGUGGCGAAGGCGGGUCUCUGGGCCGAAAUUGACGCUGAGGAGCGAAAGCGUGGGGAGCAAACAGG
rnacentral:rRNA from 1 species